rnacentral:rRNA from 1 species
GACGAACGCUGGCGGCGUGCUUAACACAUGCAAGUCGAACGGAAAGGCCCUGCUUUUGUGGGGUGCUCGAGUGGCGAACGGGUGAGUAACACGUGAGUAACCUGCCCUUGACUUUGGUAUAACUUCAGGAAACUGGGGCUAAUACCGGAUAGGAGCUCCUGCUGCAUGGUGGUGGUUGGAAAGUUUCGGCGGUUGGGGAUGGACUCGCGGCUUAUCAGCUUGUUGGUGGGGUAGUGGCUUACCAAGGCUUUGACGGGUAGCCGGCCUGAGAGGGUGACCGGCCACAUUGGGACUGAGAUACGGCCCAGACUCCUACGGGAGGCAGCAGUGGGGAAUAUUGCACAAUGGGCGGAAGCCUGAUGCAGCAACGCCGCGUGCGGGAUGACGGCCUUCGGGUUGUAAACCGCUUUCGCCUGUGACGAAGCGUGAGUGACGGUAAUGGGUAAAGAAGCACCGGCUAACUACGUG